rnacentral:rRNA from 1 species
AGUGAACGCUGGCGGUAGGCCUAACACAUGCAAGUCGAGCGGCAGCACAGUAAGAGCUUGCUCUUACGGGUGGCGAGUGGCGGACGGGUGCUGAAUACAUCUCACUCUACUUUUUCUUGCGGGAUAACGUAGGGAAUCUUACGCUAAUACCGCAUACGACCUACGGGUGAAAGCAGGGGAUCUUCGGACCUUGCUCGAUUUCAUGAGCCGAGGUCGGAUUAGCUAGUUGGUGGGGUAAAGGCCCACCAAGGCGACGAUCCGUAGCUGGUCUGAGAGGAUGAUCAGACACACUGGAACUGAGACACGGUCCAGACUCCUACGGGAGGCAGCAGUGGGGAAUAUUGGACAAUGGGAGAAAGCCUGAUCCAGCCAUGCCGCGUGGGGGAAGAAGGCAUUCGGAUUGUAAAGCCCUUUUGUUGGGAAAGAAAAGCAGCAGGUUAAUACCCCGCUGUUCUGACGGUACCCAAAGAAUAAGCACCGGCUAACUUCGUG